UACGAAGGGGGCUAGCGUUGUUCGGAAUUACUGGGCGUAAAGAGCGCGCAGGCGGUCGGAUAAGUCGAGUGUGAAAGCCCCUGGCUCAACCAGGGAGGGUCAUUCGAUACUGUUCGACUCGAAGGCAGGAGAGGGAAGUGGAAUUCCGGGUGUAGUGGUGAAAUGCGUAGAUAUCCGGAGGAACACCAGUGGCGAAGGCGACUUUCUGGCCUGUUCUUGACGCUGAGGCGCGAAAGCUAGGGGAGCAAACGGG
rnacentral:rRNA from 1 species